rnacentral:rRNA from 1 species
AUUGAACGCUGGCGGCAGGCCUAACACAUGCAAGUCGAGCGGAUGAAGGGAGCUUGCUCCUGGAUUCAGCGGCGGACGGGUGAGUAAUGCCUAGGAAUCUGCCUGGUAGUGGGGGAUAACGUCCGGAAACGGGCGCUAAUACCGCAUACGUCCUGAGGGAGAAAGUGGGGGAUCUUCGGACCUCACGCUAUCAGAUGAGCCUAGGUCGGAUUAGCUAGUUGGUGGGGUAAAGGCCUACCAAGGCGACGAUCCGUAACUGGUCUGAGAGGAUGAUCAGUCACACUGGAACUGAGACACGGUCCAGACUCCUACGGGAGGCAGCAGUGGGGAAUAUUGGACAAUGGGCGAAAGCCUGAUCCAGCCAUGCCGCGUGUGUGAAGAAGGUCUUCGGAUUGUAAAGCACUUUAAGUUGGGAGGAAGGGCAGUAAGUUAAUACCUUGCUGUUUUGACGUUACCAACAGAAUAAGCACCGGAUAACUUCGU